rnacentral:tRNA from 1 species
GCCAACAUGUCUGAGUCGUGAAGGACAGACUCGAAAUUUGUUGGGCUUUGCCUGCGUAGGUUUGAAUCCUGCUGUUGACG